ACCGAACCGACUAAUGUUGAAAAAUUAGCGGAUGACUUGUGGCUGGGGGGGAAAGGCCAAUCAAACCGGGAGAUAGCUGGUUCUCCCCGAAAGCUAUUUAGGUAGCGCCUCGUGAACUCAUCUCCGGGGGUAGAGCACUGUUUCGGCAAGGGGGUCAUCCCGACUUACCAACCCGAUGCAAACUGCGAAUACCGGAGAAUGUUAUCACGGGAGACACACGGCGGGUGCUAACGUCCGUCGUGAAGAGGGAAACAACCCAGACCGCCAGCUAAGGUCCCAAAGUCAUGGUUAAGUGGGAAACGAUGUGGGAAGGCCCAGACAGCCAGGAUGUUGGCUUAGAAGCAGCCAUCAUUUAAAGAAAGCGUAAUAGCUCACUGGUCGAGUCGGCCUGCGCGGAAGAUGUAACGGGGCUAAACCAUGCACCGAAGCUGCGGCAGCGACGCUGAUGCGUUGUUGGGUAGGGGAGCGUUCUGUAAGCCUGCGAAGGUGUGCUGUGAGGCAUGCUGGAGGUAUCAGAAGUGC
rnacentral:rRNA from 1 species